GAUGAACGCUGGCGGCGUGCCUAAUACAUGCAAGUCGAGCGAACGGACGAGAAGCUUGCUUCUCUGAUGUUAGCGGCGGACGGGUGAGUAACACGUGGAUAACCUACCUAUAAGACUGGGAUAACUUCGGGAAACCGGAGCUAAUACCGGAUAAUAUUUUGAACCGCAUGGUUCAAAAGUGAAAGACGGUCUUGCUGUCACUUAUAGAUGGAUCCGCGCUGCAUUAGCUAGUUGGUAAGGUAACGGCUUACCAAGGCAACGAUGCAUAGCCGACCUGAGAGGGUGAUCGGCCACACUGGAACUGAGACACGGUCCAGACUCCUACGGGAGGCAGCAGUAGGGAAUCUUCCGCAAUGGGCGGAAGCCUGACGGAGCAACGCCGCGUGAGUGAUGAAGGUCUUCGGAUCGUAAAACUCUGUUAUUAGGGAAGAACAUAUGUGUAAGUAACUGUGCACAUCUUGACGGUACCUAAUCAGAAAGCCACGGCUAACUACGUGCCAGCAGCCGCGGUAAUACGUAGGUGGCAAGCGUUAUCCGGAAUUAUUGGGCGUAAAGCGCGCGUAGGCGGUUUUUUAAGUCUGAUGUGAAAGCCCACGGCUCAACCGUGGAGGGUCAUUGGAAACUGGAAAACUUGAGUGCAGAAGAGGAAAGUGGAAUUCCAUGUGUAGCGGUGAAAUGCGCAGAGAUAUGGAGGAACACCAGUGGCGAAGGCGACUUUCUGGUCUGUAACUGACGCUGAUGUGCGAAAGCGUGGGGAUCAAACAGG
rnacentral:rRNA from 1 species